AUGGGUACAUGAAGGGCUAAAAGUGGAAAAGGAAAACGAAGUGCAAAGAUAAGGUUAGAGUACUGUGGUGGCAUGCCGAAAGGAAUAACGAGCAACCGGGAAGUAGAAAUAGCUAGAUACACCUUUGAGCUAAUAGCGAUGUAACAUCCCGCUAUCGUAAGGGGAAAAAGCUUUUAGUGAAACGUCUUUGUGAUGUGGAACAUGAUUGUAAUGAAACUAUAUACCUCUAUAUGAUGCUGAUAUGUAUGUAAAGAUAUAUGAUGUGUAUUGUUAAGCAAAGUAAUUUUGUAUAAUGGAUGUAACCGUGCAUGUGCAAAGUGGGUAGUGCACAUGCUAGUUGAAUGAUGAGGUUUCGAUAGUUACAACCAUGCAUGUACGGAGUGGGCAAUGCACAUGCCGGUUGAAUGACGAUGUUGCGAUAAUUACUACUGUGCAUGUGCGGAGUGGACAAUGCACAUGCUGGUAAUGAUGCAUAUGAGUUGGGUGAUG